rnacentral:lncRNA from 1 species
GUCACCGUCCAUCUUUUUCCCCAUCCGCAAGCACAGAGUAGAGCAGAGCCACCUCGCGCUCGAUUCCGGGAGCCUUGCUGCAUCUUGAUCCAAUUCCUCGCGCCCACAGAUCCUCCACAACCCAAUACACACCCCACACCCCUCCUUUUUGCGGCUAAGCGCCGGCCAAGUCGAUCUCGUCGUUGUUUCCGUCCGUCGGCCGCCAUAGACACCCUCACGGUGAGCACCUUGUUUUUGUUCUUAUCCGUAUGAGAUGUUGGCCCAGAUAGCUUGUGUAGCGACUUCGGAAGCUAUAGUGCAAGCUUGUUGCCGUAGAGACCGGCCGGAGUGCCAUUGUCGUCAUCAUCCGCGUCGGCAAGUCAUGGCAGUGUCCACCGCCGUAGUCGCACGCCCUUCUCCUGUCCACCAGCUUCGUCAAGAACACCACCAGAGGAUGCGCAAGGACCUAGGUAACACAGCCGGUUAGCCCCCGGCACCGGAAACCUCGCCGCCGGCGAGCUAGCGCCGCUACCCGCCGGGGGUACCCGCGAUCAAGGCGGGCAACUGUGCCUUGACCCGGGGGCCCGCUUGUCAGUGGCCGUGGGUAGGUGGAGCGCGGGUGAGAAAAGAGAGUUCCGACGGGUUUUGGGGAAAAAUAGAUUUAGGUGUUUUAGAUAUUAGUUUUAAAUCCAGUUCUCAUAUUUAAUUCACCAAAAUUUGUAGAAUUGUCAAAAAUAGUGAAACAAAUUUUGUUAGGUUUGUUUCAUUUUCCUUUAUGCAUUAAAAUUCUUAAACCUUAGGAGAAGAUAUAAAAAAUUAGGUAUUUAUUUAGUACGUUUAUUUAAGGUAUUUAAAUAAAUACUUAACCUUUAUAAAAUGUAUAAAAUUUGUAAUAAUGUUUUAUUAUUCAAAAAUGCUUAUUAAUCCAUAGGAAUUAGGUUUUGAGAUUAGAAAUUAUUUAUAAUACUUUUCUAAAUAAAAGAAAAGGUUUAAUUUAGGUUAGUUAUGAAAAUUAAUUUGUGGGUUAAUCUUUUGGGUAGAUUAGUGUUGGCUUGCAACUUGUAUAGUCGUAUUCUAAUUGUGCCUUGCAUCAUAUCAUAGAACCUGAAGCUCCUGAAGUGGAUUUUGUGAAAUUAUCUGAAAGUUUAAGGAAGGUGUUGAAGUUGCUCCUUUUAUUAACACUUUUAUACCCCAGGCAAGCCCUGAAGCAUCUAUACCUAUCUAUUUUCAGAAAUUACUAUUCAUGUGUUCAAAUUAUUGGUUAUUUCCCUAUUUAUGCAUUAGGUCUAGAAGUGGAUUGAAACCUUACUUUCAUGCACAAUCCGACAAUCCGACCUUGUUUGUUAAGGACAUCUUUACCGCCUGUUCAAAAUAGCUUGCUCAAAAUAAUUAGUAAUUGUCCCAUUCUUAGCAAAGUGUAAUCAUGCUAUUCCAAUCUUUUUAGUACAUCUGGUGCUCAGCAACCUAAGGUAACAUUGUUCAUAUAUAUUUUAUCUGAGCACCCUAAGGUAACAGUGUUCAUAUAUGUUUUAUGUCAAGGAAAUGGCCUGUUUUGAAAAUAGUGGACGGAAGCUUGGAUGGAAUCAAGAAAGGAGACUUGAGCUCCGUAGUUCCGUCUACUCGGUUAAUGAAUUAAGGCCCGUUCGUUGUCUUAACCAGUGAUCAAGUGAUUUUACCUAGUUGCUUACUGUUUAUGGGACCAGUAAAGUCCGGUAGGUUAGUUGGCUCUCUGAUUGGAAAUAUUCUUACCUGUGCUUGAUGUGCUGGAGAAUGGCAGGGGCGUAGUCUGAAACUCACAUGGAGAUCAGGCCAGAUGUGGGGUCCCAUGUGGGGGUGGGUCCCUGGAUUCGGGUAAUUAUAAUUCCGAUCUUUGGGUACGGCUAAUUGAAAGGUCGUUAUGCGCAACUCGCGCAGUUGUGCAUGGCUGGUGAUUAGGUAUUUCCUGUAGGAUGUAAAUCGGUAUGGAUCGUUGCAAUUGUCGAUUAUGAGUGCACUUGAUCAUCACUUAAGCAUCGUAGAGUAAUCAAAUUGAAUAUAAUGUUUUCCUUGAAUUAUUAAUAUUGUAUGAUGUUUAGUUCCACUUGAUUGAUCAAAAUGUUUUAUUCACCUAACCAGGUAAGAACUAAUUAGUUUUAAAAUAAUAAAACUAACGUUCCACAAGUAGUAAGUUUUUCACAAAAAUGUUGAGUCAGCCAGUACACUAAAAAGGCUAUCAUGCUCGUAAGCAAAGUGGACACAUGAUAAACAAAUGGGUGCACUGCUGACAUACAGGUUUGAUUCAGGUCAAAGACAGUUUGCCAUUUCGUUCUGAAUGUGCACUCUUAGUUUAUGCAGAUCAUAUCUGGCAUCACUGACACUGGGAAUUGAAAAUCUAAUAUAGUUACACAUUUUAUCGAAUUAUUAGCAGAGAAGAUGCUAUGACUCAAAAGUCUUCAUCUAUUGGUUACCCAUUGGCGUAGCGUGGAAACAUAAUUGUUACUGAUGGGAACUAACUUCGCCUAUGGUGUGCCCCCCUUCUCCAUAAACUGCAUAGUAGUACGAUACUGUAAAGCUUAAUGAAACACAGGGUUGUCCUUAUUAGAAUAGGCUACAAAUUAACGGAGUAAUUGACAGACUAUUGCAAGUCACAUAUUGAUAGUUAUGCAUAUCUACAACUAUAGUUCAUAUCUUUGCAAGAAUCUAUAGUUCAUAUCUUUGCAAGAAUGCUAAGGACCAUAAAAGUUUAGUAUAGAACAGUUUCUUACAGUUACAGAUGCUAGAACAUUUUGUGUCAUCCAAAUUUGCAGUACCAGGAAGGGGGAAUCCAUGAGUAGCCUCCAGGGGCAGUAAAAUGUGACUGAAAGGAAUGUUGUACAUGCUGAUCUAGCAGCGGCACAAACGUCCCCAAAGCAAUCGCUUUUGUUUGUAGCCGCGGCACAGCUCAUCCCUGCAAUCUGUCCUCGCCUGGCACCUGGCACCGCUCCUUGGUGAGUCACAAAUCCAUGGCAACUUGUAAUAGCAAGAACAUGGAUUCAUGAAGAAUCUUUGCUGCAAACAGAAAAUGGACGGAACAGACUUGAUAUUAGAUGUCCUUGCGCAUCAGUUGCUACAUUCUAAAACUGAAAAAACUAACUAUUCAGUGACCAGCUUACGUUGGACGCAUUUCCUCGAGCACCUUCUGGGCGUCGUCCAUAUCGACAGCCACUCCAGCUGCUGGGGCACUGGCCGGCGAGCUCUGCACCAUGGGAGGUCGCACGGGUGUGCGAGGGAGAUGCCCACGCUUGCAUGUCCCAUG